CCGCUCUUUCUCCGACAGCCGCCGGGGGUGCCCUGCAAGCUGUUCCGCGCGUCCUGCCCGUCUGUCCCCGCGGGUCGUCGCCCGCCACAGCCGCGCCAUGACCACCCAGCAGAUAGUCCUCCAGGGCCCGGGGCCGUGGGGCUUCCGCCUCGUGGGCGGCAAGGACUUCGAGCAGCCUCUCGCCAUUUCCCGGAUCUGAACAUAAAGUCUGGUCUCCUCUGGUGACGGAGGAAGGGAAGCGUCAUCCAUACAAGAUGAAUUUAGCCUCUGAACCCCAGGAGGUCCUGCACAUAGGAAGCGCCCACAACCGAAGUGCCAUGCCCUUUACCGCCUCGCCUGCCUCCAGCACUACUGCCAGGGUCAUCACAAACCAGUACAACAACCCAGCUGGCCUCUACUCUUCUGAAAAUAUCUCCAACUUCAACAAUGCCCUGGAGUCAAAGACUGCUGCCAGCGGGGUGGAGGCGAACAGCAGACCCUUAGACCAUGCUCAGCCUCCAAGCAGCCUUGUCAUCGACAAAGAAUCUGAAGUUUACAAGAUGCUUCAGGAGAAACAGGAGUUGAAUGAGCCCCCAAAACAGUCCACGUCUUUCUUGGUUUUGCAGGAAAUCCUGGAGUCUGAAGAAAAAGGGGAUCCCAACAAGCCCUCAGGAUUCAGAAGUGUUAAGGCUCCUGUCACUAAAGUGGCUGCGUCGAUUGGAAAUGCUCAGAAGUUGCCUAUGUGUGACAAAUGUGGCACUGGGAUUGUCGGUGUGUUCGUGAAGCUGCGGGACCGUCACCGCCACCCUGAGUGUUAUGUGUGCACUGACUGUGGCACCAACCUGAAACAGAAGGGCCAUUUCUUUGUGGA
rnacentral:sRNA from 1 species